rnacentral:rRNA from 1 species
AGAGUUUGAUCCUGGCUCAGGAUGAACGCUGGCGGCGUGCUUAACACAUGCAAGUCGAACGAAGCACUUUAUUUGAUUUCCUUCGGGACUGAUUAUUUUGUGACUGAGUGGCGGACGGGUGAGUAACGCGUGGGUAACCUGCCUUGUACAGGGGGAUAACAGUUGGAAACGGCUGCUAAUACCGCAUAAGCGCACAGCAUCGCAUGAUGCAGUGUGAAAAACUCCGGUGGUAUAAGAUGGACCCGCGUUGGAUUAGCUAGUUGGUGAGGUAACGGCCCACCAAGGCGACGAUCCAUAGCCGACCUGAGAGGGUGACCGGCCACAUUGGGACUGAGACACGGCCCAAACUCCUACGGGAGGCAGCAGUGGGGAAUAUUGCACAAUGGGCGAAAGCCUGAUGCAGCGACGCCGCGUGAGCGAAGAAGUAUUUCGGUAUGUAAAGCUCUAUCAGCAGGGAAGAAAAUGACGGUACCUGACUAAGAAGCACCGGCUAAAUACGUGCCAGCAGCCGCGGUAAUACGUAUGGUGCAAGCGUUAUCCGGAUUUACUGGGUGUAAAGGGAGCGCAGGCGGUGCGGCAAGUCUGAUGUGAAAGCCCGGGGCUCAACCCCGGUACUGCAUUGGAAACUGUCGUACUAGAGUGUCGGAGGGGUAAGCGGAAUUCCUAGUGUAGCGGUGAAAUGCGUAGAUAUUAGGAGGAACACCAGUGGCGAAGGCGGCUUACUGGACGAUAACUGACGCUGAGGCUCGAAAGCGUGGGGAGCAAACAGGAUUAGAUACCCUGGUAGUCCACGCC